GACGAACGCUGGCGGCGUGCCUAAUACAUGCAAGUCGAGCGGACGGAUGGGAGCUUGCUCCCAGACCGUCAGCGGCGGACGGGUGAGUAACACGUGGGCAACCUGCCUGUAAGACUGGGAUAACUCCGGGAAACCGGGGCUAAUACCGGAUAACUCUAUCCCUCACAUGAGGGAAAGCUGAAAGAUGGCAUCUCGCUAUCACUUACAGAUGGGCCCGCGGCGCGUUAGCUAGUUGGUGAGGUAACGGCUCACCAAGGCGACGAUGCGUAGCCGACCUGAGAGGGUGAUCGGCCACACUGGGACUGAGACACGGCCCAGACUCCUACGGGAGGCAGCAGUAGGGAAUCUUCCGCAAAGGACGAAAGUCUGACGGAGCAACGCCGCGUGAGUGAUGAAGGUUUUCGGAUCGUAAAACUCUGUUGUCAGGGAAGAACAAGUACCGGAGUAACUGCCGGUACCUUGACGGUACCUGACCAGAAAGCCACGGCUAACUACGUG
rnacentral:rRNA from 1 species